AAACAAGAAGACAUGGUUGAUGUGAACCUUAAGCCCACUGUGAAUUCAUCCCAGAGUGAGCAGCAAGGAGGAGGUUGCGCAUGUUAAGAGAUACUGUAUAAGAAAAGAUAGAAAUUGAAGCACUUUCAAUACUCAGUUAUACCCCCAAUUGGAAUUAAAAUACAUGAGGAAUGGUGAUUUUGACAAGAACUGCUCUGAGAUCAAGAACAUAUUUGCAACAGACUGAUGCUAUUUGUUCAAUAUGCCAUCAGGUUUCCAGUUUCUGAGGGCAGAAAUCCACAAGAUGGUAAAUCGACACUUGAUGUGUUUCAUUCGUUUUGUUUUUCAUUUUA
rnacentral:misc_RNA from 1 species